AGCGAACGCUGGCGGCAGGCCUAAAACAAUGCAAGUCGAACGCCUGUAGCAAUACAGGAGUGGCAGACGGGUGAGUAACACGUGGGUAAUUUACCUUUGGGUGGGGAAUGGCAGCCGGAAACGGCUAUUAAUACCGCAUAAUGCAGCGGCUCGACAUCGAGACAGUUGUUAAAGCAGGGAUCUGACAAGGACCUCGCGACCUAAAGAGAAGCCUGCGUCAGAUUAGCUAGUUGGUAGGUAAUGGCCUACCAAGGCUGUGAUCUGUAGCCGGCCUGAGAGGGCGGUCGGCCACACUGACACUGACAC
rnacentral:rRNA from 1 species